GAUGAACGCUGGCGGCGUGCCUAAUACAUGCAAGUCGAGCGAACAGACGAGGAGCUUGCUCCUCUGACGUUAGCGGCGGACGGGUGAGUAACACGUGGAUAACCUACCUAUAAGACUGGGAUAACUUCGGGAAACCGGAGCUAAUACCGGAUAAUAUAUUGAACCGCAUGGUUCAAUAGUGAAAGACGGUUUUGCUGUCACUUAUAGAUGGAUCCGCGCCGCAUUAGCUAGUUGGUAAGGUAACGGCUUACCAAGGCGACGAUGCGUAGCCGACCUGAGAGGGUGAUCGGCCACACUGGAACUGAGACACGGUCCAGACUCCUACGGGAGGCAGCAGUAGGGAAUCUUCCGCAAUGGGCGAAAGCCUGACGGAGCAACGCCGCGUGAGUGAUGAAGGUCUUCGGAUCGUAAAACUCUGUUAUUAGGGAAUAACAAAUGUGUAAGUAACUAUGCACGUCUUGACGGUACCUAAUCAGAAAGCCACGGCUAACUACGU
rnacentral:rRNA from 1 species